GCAUAUCACGUGGUGAGAGUGUGAGC
rnacentral:piRNA from 1 species